rnacentral:rRNA from 1 species
AGCAGUCGCGCGGUAAUACGGAGGGUGCAAGCGUUAAUCGGAAUUACUGGGCGUAAAGCGCACGCAGGCGGUUUGUUAAGUCAGAUGUGAAAUCCCCGAGCUUAACUUGGGAACUGCAUUUGAAACUGGCAAGCUAGAGUCUUGUAGAGGGGGGUAGAAUUCCAGGUGUAGCGGUGAAAUGCGUAGAGAUCUGGAGGAAUACCGGUGGCGAAGGCGGCCCCCUGGACAAAGACUGACGCUCAGGUGCGAAAGCGUGGGGAGCAAACAGGAUUAGAUACCCGUGUAGUCCCUGUCUCUUAUACA